rnacentral:tRNA from 1 species
GCGCCCAUAGCUCAAUGGAUAGAGCGCUAGCCUUCGGAGCUGGGCGUUGGGGGUUCGAGUCCCUCUGGGCGCG